rnacentral:rRNA from 1 species
GAUGAACGCUGACAGAAUGCUUAACACAUGCCAGUCUACUUGAAUUUGGGUUUUUAACUUAGGUUUGGGUGGCGGACGGGUGAGUAACGCGUAAAGAACUUGCCUCACAGCUAGGGACAACAUUUAGAAAUGAAUGCUAAUACCUAAUAUUAUGAUAAUAGGGCAUCCUAUAAUUAUGAAAGCUAUAAGCGCUGUGAGAGAGCUUUGCGUCCCAUUAGCUAGUUGGAGAGGUAACGGCUCACCAAGGCGAUGAUGGGUAGCCGGCCUGAGAGGGUGGUCGGCCACAAGGGGACUGAGACACGGCCCUUACUCCUACGGGAGGCAGCAGUGGGGAAUAUUGGACAAUGGACCGAGAGUCUGAUCCAGCAAUUCUGUGUGCACGAUGAAGUUUUUCGGAAUGUAAAGUGCUUUCAGUUGGGAAGAAAGAAAUGACGGUACCAACAGAAGAAGUGACGGCUAAAUACGUGCCAGCAGCCGCGGUAAUACGUAUGUCACGAGCGUUAUCCGGAUUUAUUGGGCGUAAAGCGCGUCUAGGUGGUUAUAUAAGUCUGAUGUGAAAAUGCAGGGCUCAACUCUGUAUUGCGUUGGAAACUGUAUAACUAGAGUACUGGAGAGGUAAGCGGAACUACAAGUGUAGAGGUGAAAUUCGUAGAUAUUUGUAGGAAUGCCGAUGGGGAAGCCAGCUUACUGGACAGAUACUGACGCUGAAGCGCGAAAGCGUGGGUAGCAAACAGG